UUUCACCUGGAGCUGAUUUUUCAUGGAGGCUGUGCUGGUUGCUCUGGGAUUCCGGGAAAACCCCAAGGCGUGGCCUAAUCAUUCUCAGGUGCAACCCAUAAACCAAGAUCUGACAAGUACAAAGAGAAAAAUGAGUAUGCCUUCCAAAAAUAAAGAGGAAAAAUAAAUGAAUAGAUAAACUGCAAGGCAAGGUCGGGAAAGCAAAACACUGAAAAUUGGUAUUACUCGGCGUGUUAUAUAUACAAACAACAAAGACUUCUACAAAAAGAAAUGAACCAUAGCUGGCAAAGCAGUUGGAUUGUGAGCGUGUGACUGAUUAUUCAAAACGGUUCUAUGAUUAAUUCAUUUUGUAUUGAUGCAAAUAAUCCUAACAGAGACCUCUGAAAGCUAAUGUAUUUUCUGUACCGUGGUUUUCUAUUGAUCUCUUCAAAUGGUGGAGGAAAGCUAUUUUCAUAAUAUUAA